rnacentral:lncRNA from 1 species
CUCUGAAGACCAGAAACUUGUCCCUGUGCUCAGGACCAGGCUACCAUGGAGCUCAUUAUGUCAAAGAGUAGGUAAAGACUUGUAGUGAAGUAGUUAGGAGUUAUCAAAAAUGAAGCAUUGAAGUUUUAAUAGCUUCAGUCCAGUUGCAACUAGAGCAUUUUGUCACAAGUGAUACACAUUUAUUUUAUAGCCAUAUAAACAUACCAGACAGACCAGUUACUACUUUGAAAGCUCCGUGCGCAGGUGACCUUGCUGUGCUCCCUAGAUUUCCCCUAGAUAUCUCCAAGGGCUAUUUGGAAACAUGGUACCAGUCCAUCUCUAACCAAGAGCGGAGGUCAGAGCCCUGCAUGCCAGAAGCUGGCCACGCUUGCACUGCCUGGAAGGACCAGUUUGUCCCCAGCUUCCCAGCAAAGCCCUCUGGUUCAAGUCUUGGUAGAUUAGGUAAACUGCAGAAAACACAACCAAAUGACACCUGCUUGCUCACCUCUAAAGUAUGCAACAGCAGUGAAACCAGAAUGUUCACCACACUGAUAGCAGUUUUUAAGAGUGCCUUGACUGUCCCCUUACAAACUGCUCCUCAGCAUCAGUGAAGGAAAGUGAAGCAGCAAAUGCUAACAAUCCUUGCUUCUAAUUGUUCUCAGAGACCACCUGGGAAAACACCUUGACCAUCUCAUUAAAUAUGUAAAUAAGAGGAAAUGUACAUUCACCACACAGCUGAGAUGACAAUACAAGUCCUUGGAGUUACCUUUUUCUUGCUUCGGCUGCUUUCUUCCUGGCAGAGCUGGCAGAUCUGAGCAUUUCCAGGUCCUGAUGGCUGUUCCUGCUCCUCCUGGGUGCUACUCUGUAACUUGUGUGGCAGGACACUGUUUUCCUCUCUUGGGGCCUGUUUCAGUUUGGCGUUUUCGUCUUGGAUUCUGAGCUUCCCGUCCGGUUUUAACCAAUUCUUCGGGCCUUUCUUGUUUCCUUGGCUGCUUUGGUGACUGUGUGACCAUCU